AACGCGAAGAACCUUACCUACCCUUGACAUACAGUGGAUUUUGCAGAGAUGUGGAAGUGCCUUCGGGAACACUGCUACAGGUGCUGCAUGGCUGUCGUCAGCUCGUGUCGUGAGAUGUUGGGUUAAGUCCCGCAACGAGCGCAACCCUUAUCCUAUGUUGCCAGCGGGUAAUGCCGGGGACUCAUGGGAGACUGCCGGGGUCAACUCGGAGGAAGGUGGGGAUGAGGUCAAGUCAUCAUGCCCCUUAUGUCUUGGGCUGCAAACAUGCUACAAUGGCCGGUACAGAGGGCUGCGAGACCGUAAGGUGGAGCGAAUCUCAAAAAGCCGGUCUCAGUUCGGAUUGGGGUCUGCAACUCGACCCCAUGAAGUCGGAGUCGCUAGUAAUCGCAGAUCAGCAACGCUGCGGUGAAUACGUUCCCGGGCCUUGUACACACCGACUGUAC
rnacentral:rRNA from 1 species